AAUAGACAACAAAUUUCAGAUCAAUAUUCGCAGCGGAAAGUAAUAAUUCAUAAAAUAGUUACGUAGAGAAUGAAAUCUACUAAUAUCUAUGAAUUUAACAGUCCAUCAUCAUUAUUUUAUCCCUGUAACAUCAAUCAAUAUUCAUCUUGAAUCAAAUAUUCAUCUUUGCACUACAGGCCAAAGAUAUUCAUCAGUUGGUCAUGUUCACCUCAA
rnacentral:lncRNA from 1 species